GCUGACCUAGUGGUUAGAAUGUCCGCCUCGAAUGCGGGAAGUCGUUGGUUCAAUCCCGGUCGAGUCA